GACGUAGGGCGCGAGCGUUGUCCGGAUUUAUUGGGCGUAAAGGGCGCGUAGGCGGUGCGGUAAGUCACCUGUGAAAUCUCCUGGCUCAACUGGGAGCUUGCAGGCGAAACUGCCGUGCUGGAGUGUGGGAGAGGUGCGUGGAAUUCCCAGUGUAGAGGUGAAAUUCGUAGAUAUUGGGAAGAACACCGGUGGCGAAGGCGGCAACCUGGUCCUUGACUGACGCUGAGGCGCGAAAGCGUGGGGAGCAAACAGG
rnacentral:rRNA from 1 species